ensembl:lncRNA
CAAAAAACAGCUGAUGAUGUGCAAGGAGAACAAGCAGCUCAUUACACUGUAAUUUGUGGUCUCCAAACCUGGAAGUGCUGGGGCGAGAGGUGAGAGGAGGGAAGAAGCAAAGCAUUGAGAGGCACAGCCUAGAAGGGUGAGAAGCACCAAGUUUCUGCUGCUUCUGUGAGCUGUUCUCACCUGCCCACACCUGAGCAUGCCAAGCAGUGAGUGCCCAUCACCGUCAAACAGAUCCAACUAAUGUGUGGAACAACGGCAAGAUAACUGUACUUCCACUAUCACGGGAUACUGACAAACUGCAGGGCAAAGCAUGGUGAAGUGCCAUCAACUUUCAUUCUAUCACCUUGAGUG